ensembl:lncRNA LERFS lncRNA negative regulator of fibroblast-like synoviocyte migration, SYNCRIP interacting
ACAUGCUCAGUGAGGUCGGCGCCCGCCAGUAACAAACAUGGCUCCCUGAAGCCGCUCAGGCUCAAGAGCAACAUGGAGGUCUGCACUUAAUCGCUCCUCUCCGGGGGCGGCCAUACCGAGGAGGCGUCUCUUCCGUGCAGGCAGGCUCUCCUGGGGACCUCAGAGAUUCUCUCCAGCGGCAGCGGAAAACGGACAAUGGGUGGAUUCGGGUCCAGAUUCUGGUAGGAGGGAGUUUGGGAUCGAGAUCUGGAAAAAAGCACUAGACUGGAAGAGGACGCGAUGGAGUCGGAGCCGCUGGCGGGGACAAAAACCAGAGGCCGGGGAAGGCGCCGGUGGGAGGCAAGGCACGGAUGGACUUUACCUGCGCACGCGUCGCAGCCAUCUCCGCGCACAGUGGUGGCCACCGCGACUGGUGCUGAAGUGUUGGCGCGUGCCGGGCGCUCCGCUGGGACCCGGGUUGCUGGCCCUGAGUCUCAGCUUUCUCAUCUGUACGGUUGGGACAAGUACAGUAACCCUCGCCCGUCAAGACGGGCCAGGGCUGUGGCGAGGGUCCACGCCUUAGAGCAGGCAGGAGUAGGGCUGAUUGGAGCCAUUGUACAGUGUCGGGAACAUACCAGGACACUGAGAAUAGUGUCAUGUCAUAAGGACCCAGAGCAGAUGGACCCUGCUGUGAUGCACAAAGAGGACCACGCAAGAUAUGAUAAAGAUCUACAUCACUGAAUUUUGGUUCCAUUUUUGUAUCUCAGCUUCCAGGAAAUAAAAAAGAAUUCUAACAUUCAUACUUUCAGUAUUUUAUGUGAGAGGUUUUGUUGUCAAAAUCAAGUCUGAGAGCAAUGUUUGUUGGGGCCUUUAAUUGGAGUCACCAAGCGAUAAAGGGGACAUUGUCCUCAACAAUAACCCUAUAAUAAACACGUUUUGGACAAUAAAUAUAUGACAAUUUCUUAAAAGCAAUUUCUUGGGCAAUCAAGACAGUAUGGCUUGAGUAUGGAGUUAUACGAUGGUUUGGAUUAAUCCAGUAUUAAAUCUUUGGUUAUUACAGAAAUCAAUGGAGCCUAUUCUUCCAAAUAAUCCUUAAAUAUUACUUAUCUCAACUGAGAUUUUGGUGAAAAUUUAGCUUUAGAGCUUUUAUUGACCUGCCAAUGACCUGAAGUUAAGAUUAUUCUUUUCUACUGAAUGAAGACAAACUACCUUAUAAAAAUUAACCCAGAAGGCUGUAGAGGUGAUUUGUUUUCUUUAUUUCUGAUGACAGUUAAAUAGCUUGACUAAAACUCUUGGUUCCCUAAAUGGCUUUUCUGCUUUUGGAUGGUGGUAGCCUGGGGAACGUAAGGAAAGCAGAUAUCUCCCAAAACUGGGAAUAAAAUACAUGAUUUAUUCCAAUACAUUCCAGGAAACCCCAUUUCCAAGCUCUUUAAACUAAAACAUUACUGUAAACAUGUUGGCCUAAAAUUUUUCAGAGCUAGAAAUGUUCAGAGCAAUAGCUGCCAGUUGCCACCAUGAUGUUAGGAAAUUCUCAUUAAUUCUUACAUGACAGUUGUCUACAUAGAGAUGAAACACUUGACUAAAUUGUCAGCAGCAUAAUUGUAUCCAUACAGACAGAUAGAACAAAUCCAAUGCUGUGAUGUAGUUUAAAUGUGCACAUGUUAACUGAUUAGAGAGCUAGAAAAUGGAGGGUAUUUUUAGCAGCAUAUGAUAAAUAUAUUUCUGACUGUUGAA